rnacentral:rRNA from 1 species
CCUACGGGAGGCUGCAGUGAGGAAUAUUGGUCAAUGGACGAGAGUCUGAACCAGCCAAGUAGCGUGAAGGAUGACUGCCCUAUGGGUUGUAAACUUCUUUUAUAUGGGAAUAAAAUGUUCCACGUGUGGGAUUUUGUAUGUAACAUAUGAAUAAGGAUCGGCUAACUCCGUGCCAGCAGCCGCGGUAAUACGGAGGAUCCGAGCGUUAUACGGAUUUAGUGGGUUUAAAGGGAGCGUAGGUGGAUUGUUAAGUCAGUUGUGAAAGUUUGCGGCUCAACCGUAAAAUUGCAGUUGAAACUGGCAGUCUUGAGUACAGUAGAGGUGGGCGGAAUUCGUGGUGUAGCGGUGAAAUGCUUAGAUAGCACGAAGAACUCCGAUUGCGAAGGCAGCUCACUGGACUGCAACUGACACUGAGGCUCGAAAGUGUGGGUAUCAAACAGGAUUAGAUACCCUUGUAGUC